ensembl:lncRNA
GGUAGAUUCUUUAUCGUCUGAGCUACCUCUUACCUUAAUUUCACGUAGGCUCGACUCUGUGGAGGCUGGUACUUAUUUGCGGCCUAAUAGUUGAAUAUUUACUGAAGGCCUAAAGUGAGUUACAAGUUUGGAAAAGAAGAUUUGACCAGGUACCUUGGUGUUUAUUUAAACUAAGAGAAAAAGGGCACAUCUUCAUGCAAUACUUAUUUGGUUCUUUAAAUAACAAUUGUGACAAAUAGCAGAAAGAAUUAAGGAAUGCAGCAGUUGAUAGCUGUUCAAAACAUCAAUAUUUUGGGUUGUACAUAAAGACAUGUCUCAAACACUUUUUGAAAUACCAUAAUAGCCAAUACUAGAGGCAUGCCUUCAGUAGGCACGGGAAUGCAGUUUAGAAAAAAGAAAAAACAAAUCAUGCAAGACUACUGAAUUUCAUUAAAAUCACUGAGCAAGAAAAGCAACAUUGGGAACUUCCCUGGUGGUGCAGUGGUUAAGAAUCUGCCUGACAACGCAGGAGACAGGGGCUCAAUCCCUUGUGAGGAAGAUCCCACAUGCCUGGGAGCAGGUAAGCCCCUGCACCACAAUUUCUGAGCCUGUGUGCUGCAGCUACUGAAGCCCAUGAACCCAAGAGUCAAGCACCACAACUUCUGAAACCUGCUUGCUUAAAGCCCGUGCUCUGCCACAAGAGAAGCCUGUGCCCCACAACAAGAGUAGGCCCUGCUAGUCACAUCGAGAAAAAGCUGGCGCGCAGCAACGAAGACCCAGUGCAACCAAAACAAGAAAAGCGACAUUGAACUCCACAUACUAAUUUCACACAGCAUGUACACAGCACCUUGACUUCAAUUGAAGAGAAAAGCUAAGACGCGCCUCUAUUUUUGGUGAACAAUUGAAUGGUAAACUUAGAUGACUUUUCCCCCUGGAUUUUACCUGGGAGUGAACUUUAAAAUUUUUAAUCUGAAAGAAGGCAAGUGGGACACUUUUAUACUUAUAUCACCACCACUGAUACUUCUUGGAUUACAGGAAGAUUCGCAUUUUUACAGCUCAUACACAUACACCACAGGCUGGAAUUCCUGUUAUGCUAGUCUCAGAGUUAUUCAACUUAUUUUGUGCAUCAGUUUAUGUAAUAAUUUCAUUCCUAUUGAUCUCUAAUAUCAUUAUCCCAUCACCAUUUCUAUUCCUUCUCUAUAAGGAAAUUAAAUCCAGUUCACAGAUACUUUCAAAAACGUGUGUCUCAAGUUUCCAAAAUAUCUGAAUUAUAUCUAAAAUGCCAAGUCUCUCUGAUGAUUUGCUGUUGUGUCUUCACUGUCCGGCUGGUAGAACUUGGAGAGUUCGCAUGUGUAUGAUCAGGUCACCUGAGAUGGCUGUUCUCUUCUCUCUAUACAUUAUCAUCUGUCAGUCGGUGCCUGCUUCACCUACACUCUACUUGCAACCGACUGUUCUACAUACUUGUCCUGGCCGCAGCCAGUGACUUCUUACGUUGAGAUCAGAACAUCUCUACCUUGAUAGCUUAACAAAGGGGCAGUGAGGGGCAUGCCUCUUUGCUAGUUUCCCUGGUAACCAAUGAGCCAACCCAAAGUCAGUUUCCCCUGUAACUGCUUACUUCCCUUUUCCCCCUGGAAUGAAGAGUACUGCCAGGCAGCCUUUCUCUGCUCCAAACUCCGACAUCUUGGUCUGUUUUGAUGUCACUAUGCAUCGGGCACAUGAACUUGGGUUUGACAUUACCAGUCCCUGUUGUGAGAAUUAAAUUUUUUCCUCUUUUUAUCAAAAUUGGAGAUCUUUUCCCCCAGUUUUUUUGUUUCUCCUCACAUGUCCUAUAAUUUCUCAAAGAGCAAUUACAAUGACCCAGAGUACAAGGACCAAUUCCUACAGUAUCCCUGGAAUGCACUCUGUUUAGUUCCAGACACUUAAGUUCAUUUAAAACAUCUGCAUUAUUAUCUGAUGCUCUUACACAUUUUUAUUAAGUUUCCAUUGCUUUUUCUUUUUUAAAACUUUGCAUAUUACUAAACCUUGCUUUACAGAAAAGAUGAAGAAAAACAAUUGGCUAUUUUCCUUGCUUAUUGUUAUCUCUUAGCAUUUAUGCUUACUUUAUCAAAGUGUUAGGUAGUUAGAAUAGGAAAAAGGAGUCCAAAAUGGCGGUGGCUAAAAGACAAGGAAAGGAAAAAGCCCGUGAAAAUGGGGGAAAAAAAAAGAAAAAAAAUCCGCGGACCGGAAUGAGAACUUCAGGUGAAACAAACACACUUAGCUAGCCCACUUUGCAUAGGGCCGGCUCAGGAGGGAGAAGACAAAUGUAUAAAAGGAGGAAGCCUAGAAAUCAUGAAGUUAAAAGACGCUUUACUCCUUGGAAGGAAAGUUAUGACCAACCUAGAC